CUCUUCUCCUCUUUAUGACAGCAGCAAGGUGCAAAACAGAUACUGAGGAGUUCACAGCUCCUCGGAGUGUGAUGGUUCUAACACCUCCCAGAUCUGAUGCUAGCACUGUGUGCAUCUAUGACCAGAUUUUCAACUCUGCAGUACUAACACAGAACUCAUAAGAGUAAGACAGAGGGGAAACAUCACAUUUUCCAAAGCUGUUUGGGCAACAAGCCCUCUCAUGCUGUUGCAGAAACACACCAUACUGAAUAACUCCACCACAGCAUGGAAGAAGACAAGCCCACAGAUAGAUUGCCAUUAACUGUAGUGGAAUUUAGGCCAACCUAGAUCGCUCAGUAGCCUUUUUGCAGUCCUCGGACCUUGUACCAAAACCACAUAAACUGGAGGAAACUGUAGAUAAGGAAACAAAUUCUUCCCAAAAGCCAUCAUUAAGGAAAAGUCAGAAAGAGUUCAGAUUUUUAUGAGUGAAGCAAAUAAGCUGCUACAGUAUCAAAAACAAUCUGGAAUUCAGCUUAUGAAGUUCUAGAUCUUUUUGUAGAAAAGAAACCACUGACUGAUAGUGUUUCCAUCUCAUGAAAAUGAAUUGCGUUCACAGAAUUUCAAGCAGCUUGUGAGUAGAUUUUUAGUAACAGUGGCAAGAGUCUUCACCCCUUGGGCUGUACUGACUCUUCACAUAAGCAAUCAAGACAUGGUAAUUUUACUGUCUGUGGAUCAAUGCCCAAGUGAGGUCUCCUAAGGAAAAUUUGGAGGCGGAAUGAGAACCAGCAGAGGGAGUAUCAUAAUUGAUCCCCUGUGGGAACAUUUCUUGCAGAAGAAUCCAGAGCCUUCAGUUGGUCUCAGGACCCUAUUGUGUUAAGAAAUAUACAUGCCUACAAUAGGUCCACCUAUUUUUUGAGUUUCAUCUACCCUCAGAGGUUUACAGACACUAACUCCCAUUUGAUUUCCGUCCCACUGGGUAAGUUAAUGGCUUCAACUCUGAGACCAAGCUUACAACUGGAAGAAACUCGUCCCUGAGAGGCACUGCCAUGAAGGAGCCUGGCCUGCAAUAGGACACAGAAUGGCAAUUCCACUGCCUAUUCAACAAGCUGAAAGCCCAGCUCUUAUACAUCCAUCAAAGUCCAUUUUAAUUGGGAGCCUAAAGCUAUUUUACUCAUCAGUAAUAAAGGAGCAAUUAAGUUCACAGCCAAAAAAUGAAUUAAUGAGAUACUGCAAACAAGUUAAUUAACUCCUUCAUGGGUAUUCAGAUAGAAACCACACAAAAAAACCCACAGGGUGUGCUAAUUACUUCAGGGGUCUGACUAAAAUGAAACAAAAAUUAGAUAACCACAACAUUUGGAGCAAAGGCUAGGAGUCUGUCAUUAAGCCAUCUUCUUUCAUAUACAGUGAGCAUAGGAAGCUGUGUAUGACACUGCACACACAGAAACACCCACAUCCCUACGUACAACUCAUCAAGAACAGCUUCAAAUUCGCUAACACUAAAGCUGAACCUAUUUGCUCCAUUUGCCUUGGCAAAUGCUCUGGGGGGCACUCUCCUUACCCUAAGGAGAAGAGUUUGGCAAAAGAGUUGCUCUGUUCAAAUACCCUUUAAGGGAAAGUAGAGGUUUAGCAAGGAUGGCCUGGAAAAGACAGCAUGAGGUAUGUGACGCUGUGCAGUGCCUGGCCAAGGCUGACUUACUUAGGCUUGAGGAAGAACAAGAGGGUCUCUGUGUAUAUGUUUAAGAGGUUAAACUGUCAUCCUUGACAAUUUACAUUAACUUUACAAUAUUUCAUUGCCAUGAGCUCAGGAAUCCAUAAAACCAUUGGGCCAAAUUUGCUCAUCCCUGUGUUUUGGUCAUUUAUGGCCACACAAAGGACAGAUACAAUUCUACUAGUACAGGCAGAGAAGAGUUUUACUGAGGUUUCUUUGCCCUGGUCCAAACAUACUUGAAAUUUAGAGAAGCAGAAAAACAAGUCCUUUCCACAUGGUGGCAAAACACAGCUGCUUUUAAAAUCUCAAAACUUGGGCUAUUUUUAAGGAAAAAGCCGAAGGUUCCCAGGGCUCACAGUGGAGUGUCAGCCUGCAGAAUUCAAUAACCAAUCCAGGAAACCCAUUUUGACAUCUAGUUUCAAAGAGGGUAUUGUAAACAAAGAGCAAGCCCACAGAACAAUAUCAUUCUUGAUCCCCAUUUAAGUAGCAGGAACACAGAAAAGCCUCAGAAGUGGAGACAUCUGUAUUUAUGUAGAGUGCUUUCCCUGUCUCUUUGUACUCCAUUAAAUUGCAAAUGGCAAAAUGGAAUUUCUUUUUUGAGUAGAUUAGCCCUUGCAUCUUAAAUCGCCCCAAACACAACAAUGCCACUGCUAAAAUAUGAGAAGGACACUUUCUGAAAUCUGCAGAAGCAUUACAAUAUUUGUUUACAGUUAAUAUCAUGGUAUUUCAGCCUGGGCUCAGAGCAGCUCUCAGCAGCCACUACUGGCUUUAUUGGGAUUUGUUUUAAGUUAAAGAGGAACGAGACCA